AUCCCUCACUUAAAGUUUCUGAGUUUCUUUCUUCUUCCCUUAAUUAUUUGUUCUUUCUUCUUUAUUCAUUCUUCUUUCUUCUUCCAUCCAACAAUAAAGGGAGAGUGAGAGUCUGAGAUUAGAGGAGAAAAAAAUAGAGGGAGAACCGAGAGACCCGAGAGAGAGAGAGAGAGAGAUAGCCCGAGAGGGAGAGAGUGAGAGAGAGAGAGAGAGAGAGAAGAGGUGCCAAUCAUGAGAGAGAGAGAGAGAAACCGGAACUGAGAGUGAAACCGGGAGAAGCCCGGAGAAGACUUGAUCGGAGGCCAUUUUUUCGGUGGAACCAGAGAACCGUCGGACCCAGGAGGAUCCGAAACCAAGGAGACUCGACCCUCCGACGAGACCCAGAGGCGCGAUUCUGGCCGGUCCCAGUGGCAAUUUCCAGCCGAUUUCUAGUGGGUCGACUUCGGUGGAACAUGGGACACGAUUUCCGGCGAUCCGAGUCCAUUUUCCGGUGAAAUCCGAGAUGAUUUCUGAUGGGUUUCUCAGAAACUCUUUGGAUGAUGAGCUAAGGAACUGGACCAAAGAGAUGCGGGGUGUUACAGGAGUAGUUUGGAUGGACACAAGAAGGCCGAAUUGGUGAAGUCAAUUCAUGAGAGGGUAUGACUUCAAAUUGCGCAGAAGAAUGAAAAGUUUGAUUCCCAAAUCAAUAAAGGGCGAAUGCGUGUCAUCUUUGAAUCAGGAGAUUGGGUUUAGGUUCACAUGCCCAAAGAAAGAUUCCCAGCCCAUAGAAGGACUAAAUUGCAUCCUUUAGGUGUCGAUUCGAGGUCAAAUCCUUUUGAGGAGAGGGAGAAUGGUGGGCACCAUGGUAGACUGAAUCUUAAAGAUCCCUUGCAAGUUCUAGAUGGGCCAAUCACAAGGUCAAGAGCGAAGAAGAUUAAAGAAGCAAUGCAAGGAUUUGUGCAAUCCACUUGGGCCGAGUUUGCAAAUUUAUCGAGCAAGACUUCAACAUUCAAGUUGGACUUGAAAGAAGAAGAACCACCUUUAAUCCAUGUGAUACAAGCGAUAGAUGGGGGCGACAUAGCCUAGUGGUUUAGUGCAGAUUCUUUAUUUCAUUAAGCAUAGGCGUGUGGGCCUAUUUUUAUGUUUCUAUGGUUGUAGGCUUUUGGGCCUAUUUAUUUCAUUAAGUGGACUUCUUUUAUUAGUUAUAGAAGUGUAGUUUAAGAUGUUUUGGGCUUGAAGAUGCAUGUCUUUUAAUUGAUGUAGGCCUUAGUAGGUUUAGGGUUUUAUGGAGAGGUUUUAAAAAGACUUGUAGCCGCAUUUGCCAGACAAGUUGAAUGUGAAUGGAGUUUUUGUUCUUCAUAGAAAACUUUUCCGUUUUCUUUACUU